GAAAGUUACUAAGAGCGUACGGGGGAUGCCUUGGCUCCCAGAGGCGAAGAAGGACGUGAUAAGCUGCGAGAAGCCGCGGGGAGGUGCAAAUAACCAUUGAUCCGUGGAUGUCCGAAUGGGGCAACCCAUCCCGAUUUAUCGGGAUAUCCGGUGAAAACCGGAAGCUAACCCGGGGAACUGAAACAUCUCAGUACCCGGAGGAAGAGAAAACAAUAGUGAUUUCCGGAGUAGUGGCGAGCGAAAUGGAAAUAGCCCAAACCGGAUUUGUUUAGGCAAGUCCGGGGUUGUAGGGUCGACAUAAGGAGAAGUAUUGGAAGUGGAACGGUAUGGAAAGGCCGGCCAAAGGAGGUGAGAGUCCUGUACACGUAAACGAUACCAUCUGGUUGAUACCCUGAGUAAGGCGGGACACGAGGAAUCCUGUCUGAAACUGCCGGGACCAUCCGGCAAGGCUAAAUACUACUGGGAGACCGAUAGUGAACAAGUACCGUGAGGGAAAGGUGAAAAGAACCCCGAACAGGGGAGUGAAAUAGUACCUGAAACCGUGCGCUUACAAGCGGUCGGAGUCUGCCUUCGGGUGGAUGACGGCGUGCCUUUUGCAUAAUGAGCCUACGAGUUAGUCGUCACCAGCGAGGUUAAGUACUUAAGGUAUGGAGCCGAAGCGAAAGCGAGUCUGAAUAGGGCGAUAGAGUUGGUGGCGCUAGACGCGAAACCUUGUGAUCUACCCAUGGCCAGGCUGAAGGUCCGGUAACACGGACUGGAGGGCCGAACCAGGAAACGUUGAAAAGUUUUUGGAUGAGCUGUGGGUAGGGGUGAAAGGCCAAUCAAACUGGGAAAUAGCUCGUACUCCCCGAAAUGCCUUUAGGGGCAGCCUCGGUAUAGUUUUGCACAGGUAGAGCUACUGAUAGGAUGCGAGGGCUUCACCGCCUAUCAAAUCCUGACAAACUCCGAAUAGUGUAAAAUGGUUACCGGGAGUGAGGGCACGGGUGCUAAGGUCCGUGUCCGAGAGGGAAAGAACCCAGAGCAACAGUUAAGGUCCCUGAGUGUGUACUAAGUUGAAUUAACGAGGUCUGGCUGCAGCGACAGCUAGGAUGUUGGCUUGGAAGCAGCCAUUCAUUUAAAGAGUGCGUAACAGCUCACUAGUCGAGCGGCCGGGCAUGGAUAAUAAUCGGGCAUAAGUACACCACCGAAGCUUUGCAUUGAAUACGUAAGUAUUUUCUGGUAGGGGAGCAUUCCAAACAGCGGAGAAGAUGUGUCGACGAGGCAUGUUGGAGCGUUUGGAAAAGCAAAUGUAGGCAUAAGUAACGAUAAUGCGGGUGAGAAACCCGCACGCCGAUAGACUAAGGAUUCCUGAUCAACGCUAAUCGGAUCAGGGUAAGCCGGGGCCUAAGGUGUACCCGAAGGGGGAAACCGAUGGGAAGCAGGUUAAUAUUCCUGCGCAUGUCAUGCGAUGAAAGUGACGGAGCGAUGUAGGUGUUAGGAGCUGACGGAAUAGCUCGUAGAGCCUAGCCUUCGGGCGAAGCGAAACAUUGAAAUUACUUCCAAGAAAAGCGAGCAUGGGAUCCCGUACCGCAAACCGACACAGGUAGUCAAGGAGAGAAUCCUGAGGCGCUCGAGUGAUUCGCGGCUAAGGAACUAGGCAAAAUGACCCCGUAACUUAGGGAUAAGGGGAACCCUCCAGCAAUGGGGGGUCGCAGAGAAAUGAUCCAGGCGACUGUUUAGCAAAAACACAGGGCUAUGCUAAUUCGCAAGAAGACGUAUAUGGCCUGACACCUGCCCGGUGCCGGAAGGUUAAGUGGGGAUGUUAUCGUAAGAGAAGCAUUGAAAUGAAGCCCCGGUAAACGGCGGCCGUAACUAUAACGGUCCUAAGGUAGCGAAAUUCCUUGUCGGGUAAGUUCCGACCUGCACGAAUGGUGUAACGAUCUG
rnacentral:rRNA from 1 species